rfam:Roseivivax halodurans JCM 10272 contig13, whole genome shotgun sequence.
GGGCACCUACGGGGGCCUACAUCCGAAGGCCGGGCCUCGCGCCGCGGCCGACCACAUAGGCGGACGCCCCGACCGGGGGCGGGUCGCUGCUGACAACGGAAGACAGAAA